rnacentral:sRNA from 1 species
GCAGUGCCUAGGGUAGCUCCCGAAAAGGCGGAACGUAGACCGCUCUGGCACAACCUACCAUCUACGA